UGGAUUUACUUGAAAGAUGAAAACAUAAAUUAGAGGGAGAUUAGCCUAGGGUAUGUGUUUUCUUAUAGUUGCUGUUUUCUUUCUCUCCAGCACCAUCUCCAUCAGAUACAUGACGCCUGGGAGUGUUUUAGUGUUUUUGGUCGAUAUGAUUCUUUAAUUAGGCCUGUCAUAAUUGUCAGCACCAGGCCCACUCGGCUGUUAAUCUGGCCCUGGAUGGCAACAAUGUAUUUUGGAUGUCUGCCCUAUCAACUUUGGAUGGUACUUUCUGCACCUACCAUGGUGACCACGGGUAACAAAGAAUUAGGGUUGGAUCCUGGAGAGGGAGCCUGAGAAACGGCUACCACAGCCAAGGAAGACAGCAGGCGCACAAAUUACCCACUCCCGGCGCAUGGAGGCAGUGACGAAAAAAUAACAAUACAGGACUCUUUCGAGGCCCUGUAAUUGGAAUGAGUACACUUUAACCCCUUAGUGACGAGACCAUUUUUCAAUUUA